rnacentral:rRNA from 1 species
AUUGAACGCUGGCGGCAUGCCUUACACAUGCAAGUCGAACGGUAACGGGCCUUCGGGUGCCGACGAGUGGCGAACGGGUGAGUAAUGUAUCGGAACGUACCUUUCAGUGGGGGAUAACGUAGCGAAAGUUACGCUAAUACCGCAUAUUCUGUGAGCAGGAAAGCAGGGGAUCGCAAGACCUUGCGCUGAUUGAGCGGCCGAUAUCAGAUUAGCUAGUUGGUGAGGUAAAGGCUCACCAAGGCGACGAUCGGUAGCGGGUCCGAGAGGAUGAUCCGCCACACUGGAACUGAGACACGGUCCAGACUCCUACGGGAGGCAGCAGUGGGGAAUUUUGGACAAUGGGGGCAACCCUGAUCCAGCCAUGCCGCGUGAGUGAAGAAGGCCUUCGGGUUGUAAAGCUCUUUCGGCCGGGAAGAAAUCGUAUCAGCUAAUACCUGAUGCGGAUGACGGUACCGGCAUAAGAAGCACCGGCUAACUACGUGCCAGCAGCAGCCGCCGUAA